rnacentral:rRNA from 1 species
UACGUAGGGUGCAAGCGUUGUCCGGAAUUAUUGGGCGUAAAGAGCUCGUAGGCGGCUUCGUCGCGUCGGCUGUGAAAACCUGGGGCUCAACCCCGGGCCUGCAGCCGAUACGGGCGAGCUAGAAUUCGGUAGGGGAGACUGGAAGUUCCUGGUGUAGCGGUGAAAUGCGCAGAUAUCAGGAGGAACACCGGUGGCGAAGGCGGGUCUCUGGGCAGUAACUGACGCUGAGGAGCGAAAGCGUGGGGAGCGAACAGG